rnacentral:snRNA from 1 species
UUUAACUCAUCCCUGAAAAUAUACUAAAAUUGUGACAAUGCAGAGAAAAUAACCAUGGCCCCUGAAAGAUGAAAACGUGCCUGUCUGACACUGAUAUUUUUCUU